rnacentral:rRNA from 1 species
GGUUGAUCCUGCCAGUUGUCAUAUGCUUGUUUCAAGGACUAAGCCAUGCAAAUGUCAGAGUACUUGUACUUCGGUACAGGGGGGUCUGUGUACGGCUCAUUAUAACGAUUCUAAUCUACCCAACGAAGGAUGGCUUCUUGCCGUUCCGACGGGAUAACUGCGCUAAGUGUGCAGCUAAUACCUGGAAGAAAGUUUCGCGACUACCAAACCACAUUGCGGGGAAACUUAGCAGUGUGGGGUCUCGAAAGCUGUUGGCCGAAACAAAGACUAUCGCCAUUCCCAUGGCAG